UGCGCGCAACAUUGUAGCUAGCUACGUAUAAAUACUGGAACAAAAAGAGAACUUCCUCAACAGCGACUGUUGUAACAACAGUAAGGGGGGGGCAAUGUCCGUGUUGGUUUGGGACUUCAACCAUUGUGUUUUUACUCUGUCUGUUUUAAUAGACGGAGUAUUUCACCUAGAGCACAGAAGUGCCGUUGCUGUGCUGUACCCGCUGGACAGUGUUCCGAGUGUUCGGGGAGCUGUAGAAUGGUAGAGAGAAGUCUCUCGCUACGACCUGUAGGAAGGCCCUCUGGACAUACACGCACUGCGUCAACGCAGGACCGUAUGUUGAGUGAAGGAAAUGACAUACUCCUCCGUGCUCAUUUACACGCGUUGAAGACGUGCAUCAUUGGCGCGCAGUCACAUAUGUCAGGAGGCGCAUGACAAGCAUGGCGCGUUGAUGAUCGCGUGCCACACGCACGGGACACAGACACAGAGCUCCAGCUGCCCCUUCCCCACGCGCUGUAGGCCGCAGCAAAGAACUUAUGCAGAUAGCAAUAUCAUGCCCUUUUUAAGCUCACAGUAAUCAGCCUGGCCUCAAAACAUUACCAGCUGACCAAGAAUUCACCUGAUAACCACUCCACUACUGCCAGCCUCUCACUCUCCAGUUGUUCAUGGGGAAAUCCCUGCUGCAUACCUGCCGGUGCUGGAUCGAGGGCUGCCCACUACUCCACAUGUGUGUGUGUGCUGAGCUCCUAAUGUGUUCUGGAGCUCACAGAUCCUAGUGUGUGUCUAUAUGUGUGUGUGUGUGUGUGUGUGUGUGUGUGUGUGUGUACUGCCUCUGGAGUGGUGAAAUGCAGAGAACACAUUUCCUUCGAGGACAAAUAGAGUACUUAACUUAACAGGCCCCCCCGCCCCAAGGCCCUGAUUGGACUGGAUACCAAAAGGCCCUCACUGCAAGGGCAACAGUAUCCCAGCAUUCUUUUCUGCGUGGAUCUUAGUACUCUGAUCAGUGAUGUGCACAGUGAAGCUGAGGUCUGGGAGCUGGAGCAGACAUCAUCUGGGUAGUUGGGUUGGUGUUAAAACAAGACAUUUGAAGGGCUGUGCAACCCAGUGACCCAAUGGUCCUAUCAUGAAUCAGUUAGUUACACACACACACACACACACAUUACCUGUCUGGUCUUUUACACUGCUCACCAAAGAGCUUAUUUAUGUCAGGCACACUUCUGGACACUAUGCAGCUCCUCCAUGCAAGUUACUUUCCUCCUUCAACUGUGUGAAUUUCGUGUCUGCAGGUCUGCCGUCCAUCUUUUUGUCUGAUGCUUUGGCCUGUCUUGUUUCCUCUCUCUACAACAUUGCAUAAGGUGCCUGAUGCUUUGGCCUGUCUUGUUUCCUCUCUCUACAACAUUGCAUAAGGUGUCUGAUGCUUUGGCCUGUCUUGUUUCCUCUCUCUACAACAUUGCAUAAGGUGCCUGAUGCUUUGGCCUGUCUUGUUUCCUCUCUCUACAACAUUGCAUAAGGUGCCUGAUGCUUUGGCCUGUCUUGUUUCCUCUCUCUACAACAUUGCAUAAGGUGUCUGAUGCUUUGGCCUGUCUUGUUUCCUCUCUCUACAACAUUGCAUAAGGUGUCUGAUGCUUUGGCCUGUCUUGUUUCCUCUCUCUACAACAUUGCAUAAGGUGCCUGAUGCUUUGGCCUGUCUUGUUUCCUCUCUCUACAACAUUGCAUAAGGUGCCUGAUGCUUUGGCCUGUCUUGUUUCCUCUCUCUACAACAUUGCAUAAGGUGUCUGAUGCUUUGGCCUGUCUUGUUUCCUCUCUCUACAACAUUGCAUAAGGUGCCUGAUGCUUUGGCCUGUCUUGUUUCCUCUCUCUACAACAUUGCAUAAGGUGCCUGAUGCUUUGGCCUGUCUUGUUUCCUCUCUCUACAACAUUGCAUAAGGUGCCUGAUGCUUUGGCCUGUCUUGUUUCCUCUCUCUACAACAUUGCAUAAGGUGCCUGAUGCUUUGGCCUGUCUUGUUUCCUCUCUCUACAACAUUGCAUAAGGUGCCUGAUGCUUUGGCCUGUCUUGUUUCCUCUCUCUACAACAUUGCAUAAGGUGUCUGAUGCUUUGGCCUGUCUUGUUUCCUCUCUCUACAACAUUGCAUAAGGUGCCUGAUGCUUUGGCCUGUCUUGUUUCCUCUCUCUACAACAUUGCAUAAGGUGCCUGAUGCUUUGGCCUGUCUUGUUUCCUCUCUCUACAACAUUGCAUAAGGUGCCUGAUGCUUUGGCCUGUCUUGUUUCCUCUCUCUACAACAUUGCAUAAGGUGCCUGUAUGCUUUGGCCUGUCUUGUUUCCUCUCUCUACAACAUUGCAUAAGGUGCCUGUAUGCUGCAAAAGUGAAGUAAAGUCACUGGUAAUUAUCAGCCGUUGUUGUCCAAACUGACGCUGGCUCGCUAUGGCAGCUUUGGGGUUAGAUCUUGGGCCAACCAUUGAUGAUACUGCUGCUUCACCACGUCAGAAACAGAAGUGUAAUAUUAUGCAGUAAAACUAUGUAUAAAACUGUGUGUAAUAAUGUAAUAAUAUAGUAUUCAACUGGUAUUGUUAUUGAUUCAGUAGCCCAUAUUCAGCUUUCAUCAGAGGGUGCUCAUGUUAUACCAGAUAUUUGGUGGCUAACAGGAGCGGACAGUGUUCUGGCAGGUUGCCAUGGUGACUUCACAACUAUUUUAGUUAAAUUGACCAGUUGUGGAGCUCAAGUGUGUAAUUUUGAGGGAGCAAAUGUCAUUAAAUUAAUCUGAUGGUUGUUUGUGAUCUGUUUGUGUAACUGUCAUUAACCUUAAGGCCGAAAUGAACAGUUA